rnacentral:rRNA from 1 species
AUGCAGUCGAGCGGMAGAAGGGAGCUUGCUCCCGGAUGUUAGCGGCGGACGGGUGAGUAACACGUGGGUAACCUGCCUGUAAGACUGGGAUAACUCCGGGAAACCGGAGCUAAUACCGGAUAGUUCCUUGAACCGCAUGGUUCAAGGAUGAAAGACGGUUUCGGCUGUCACUUAAGAUGGACCCGCGGCGCAUUAGCUAGUUGGUGGGGUAAUGGCUCACCAAGGCGACGAUGCGUAGCCGACCUGAGAGGGUGAUCGGCCACACUGGGACUGAGACACGGCCCAGACUCCUACGGGAGGCAGCAGUAGGGAAUCUUCCGCAAUGGACGAAAGUCUGACGGAGCAACGCCGCGUGAGUGAUGAAGGUUUUCGGAUCGUAAAGCUCUGUUGUUAGGGAAGAACAAGUGCGAGAGUAACUGCUCGCACCUUGACGGUACCUAACCAGAAAGCCACGGCUAACUACGUGCCAGCAGCCGCGGUAAUACGUAGGUGGCAAGCGUUGUCCGGAAUUAUUGGGCGUAAAGGGCUCGCAGGCGGUUUCUUAAGUCUGAUGUGAAAGCCCCCGGCUCAACCGGGGAGGGUCAUUGGAAACUGGGGAAACUUGAGUGCAGAAGAGGAGAGUGGAAUUCCACGUGUAGCGGUGAAAUGCGUAGAGAUGUGGAGGAACACCAGUGGCGAAGGCGACUCUCUGGUCUGUAACUGACGCUGAGGAGCGAAAGUGGGGAGCGAACAGGAUUAGAUACCCUGUAGUCCACGCCGUAAACGAUGAGUGCUAAGUGUUAGGGGGUUUCCCGCCCCUUAGUGCUGCAGCUAACGCAUUAAGCACUCCGCCUGGGGAGUACGGUCGCAAGACUGAACUCAAAGGAAUUGACGGGGGGCCCCGCACAGCGUGAGCAUGUGAUUAAUUCGAGCACGCGAAGAACCUUACCAGUCUGGACAUCUCUGACUAUCCUUAGA